rnacentral:rRNA from 1 species
UACGAAGGGGGCUAGCGUUGCUCGGAAUUACUGGGCGUAAAGCGCACGUAGGCGGCUUUUUAAGUCGGAGGUGAAAUCCUGGAGCUCAACUCCAGAACUGCCUUCGAUACUGAAGAGCUCGAGUCCGGGAGAGGUGAGUAGAACUGCGAGUGUAGAGGUGAAAUUCGUAGAUAUUCGCAAGAACACCAGUGGCGAAGGCGGCUCACUGGCCCGGUACUGACGCUGAGGUGCGAAAGCGUGGGGAGCAAACAGG